GAUAAUGAAGUAAAAUAUUACAUUUAGUUUCGACCUAAAAUUAGAUAUAUAAAUAGUUAUAUCCUUAUCU
rnacentral:tRNA from 1 species